UUUUAAAUGGCCGCAGUAUUUUGACUGUGCAAAGGUAGCAUAAUCAUUAGUUUUUUAAUUAAAAGCUUGUAUGAAAGGCUGGACGAGGUAAAAUCUGUCUCUAUUUAAAUUAUAGUAGAAUUUAACUUUUAAGUUAAAAGGCUUAAAUAUUAUUAAAAGACGAGAAGACCCUAUAGAUCUUUAUAGUUUAUUAAAUUAAAUUAAUUUAGAAAUAUUAAUGUUUUAUUUAAUUAAAUUAUUUUAUUGGGGUAAUAAAAAGAUUGAAUUAAUUCUUUUUUAUAAUAAACAUUAAUUUAUGAAUAUUAAUGAUCCAGUUUUACUGAUUAUAAGAUUAAGUUACCUUAGGGAUAACAGCGUAAUUUUUUUAGAGAGUUCAUAUCGAUAAAAAAGUUUGCGACCUCGAUGUUGGAUUAAAGAUUAUUUUAGGUGUAGAAGCUUAAUAAUUUUGGUCUGUUCGACCAUUAAAUCUUUACAUGAUCUGAGUUCAGACCGGCGUAAGCCAGGUCGGUUUCUAUCUUUAAUAAAAUAAAAUAUUUUAGUACGAAAGGACCAAAUAUUUGAUAUAUUUAUAUUUAAUUUAUUGAAUAUUA
rnacentral:rRNA from 1 species